UAAGAACAUCAUAAUAUGAUAAAUGCGUUUUGGAAGAACUCACAUCGACGUUAUUGUGAAAAUGAUUAUUAAACUAAAAUAAGAACAAUUUUUAUAUUAAAAGAGAAAUCAAAUUUUAUUUAUAAAAUGACGGAUGUACGAGAUAUUUUAGAUAUAGAAUCUCCAAGUACAAAUGAACUUACAAAGGAGUCUAUUUUUGCUGGUGAUAAAAGAAUUAAAAAAAAAUAUGAUUAUAAAGUACCGAAGAGACCUGAAGGAAUGCAUAGAGAAGUUUUUGCAUUACUGUGUAAAGAUAAUAACGAUGUUCCACCAUUAUUUCCGACAGAUACUGGUAAAGGUUAUAAGCAAAUGAAAGCAAAUUUAGGUAUGAAAAAAGUAAGGUCCUGGAAAUGGACUCCAUUUACUAAUCCUGCUCGUACGGACGAUGCAAUUUUUCAUCAUUGGAGACGUGUAGUUGAUGCUGGAAAAGAAUAUCCAUUUGCCAAAUUCAAUAAAAAAAUUCCGAUUCCAGCAUAUACAAAUACUGAAUAUGUUCAACAUUUAGUGACUAGUGGAUGGACAAGAGCUGAAACGGAUCAUUUAUUUGAUCUUUGUAAACGAUUUGAUUUGAGAUUUAUUAUUGUACAUGACAGGUGGGAUCAUAAAAAAUAUCCAACAAGAACAGUUGAAGAUUUAAAAAAUAGAUACUAUCAAGUAUGUACUACUUUAAGUAAAGCUAAAUCACAACAUGAAAAAACUUAUAUAUUUGAUUUUGAACAUGAGCGACGAAGAAAAGAACAACUUAAAAAAUUAUUUGAACGCACACCAGAACAGAUUGAAGAAGAACAAGUAUUGUUAUGUGAGUUAAGAAAGAUAGAACAACGUAAGAAAGAGAGAGAUCGUAAAACGCAAGAUCUACAAAAAUUAAUCACAGCUGCAGAUAAUCAAGUAGAUCCUCGAAAAAUUGAUAGAAAAUCAUCAAAGAAAAACAAUAACUCAAAUAGAAAUAAACUAAAUAAAGCAGAUUCAUCUAAUGCUAUAAAACUACAAGUUGUAGAACCAACAGGUAUUAAAUUUCCAGACUUUAAAAAUAGUGGUGUAUCACUACGUUCACAGCGAAUAAAAUUACCAAGUAGUUUAGGUCAAAAAAAAUUGAAAGGCAUUGAACAAACUUUGUCUGAUAUGAAACUUGAUUUGAAUCCACCGCCAAAUGAAAUAAUAUGUCAACAAUUUAAUGAACUAAGAAGCGAUAUUGUACUUCAUUAUGAACUAAAAGGAGCUUUGAUAACUUGCGAUUAUGAAUUACAAUCACUUAGGCAUCAAUAUGAAGCAUUGUCUCCUGGAAAGAUCGCAUCUGCCAUAGUGCUGAAUUAGUUUAUUUACUUAUAUUAAACCCAAAUUGGACCACUUUGACUGUAUGGAUUGAAUACUUGCAAGUUUUUCUGGAAUAAUGCAAACUAGUUAAAGGAUAUGUAUCCUCACUUAAAUACAUUAAUUAUACCACCAAGUUUACAGCCAAAAUCUGAUCAAGAUAUUAAAACUGAACUUAUUGAUGUUGUUGGAUCGCCGA